CCUACGGGAGGCAGCAGUGGGGAAUAUUGCACAAUGGGGGAAACCCUGAUGCAGCGACGCCGCGUGAGCGAGGAAGUAUUUCGGUAUGUAAAGCUCUAUCAGCAGGGACGAAAAAAGACGGUACCGGACUAAGAAGCCCCGGCUAACUACGUGCCAGCAGCCGCGGUAAUACGUAGGGGGCAAGCGUUAUCCGGAUUUACUGGGUGGAAAGGGAGCGUAGACGGGAAGGCAAGCCAGAAGUGAAAGGGCAGGGCUCAACCCUGUACAUGCUUUUGGAACUGUGGUGCUAGAGUGCAGGAGAGGUAAGUGGAAUUCGUAGUGUAGCGGUGAAAUGCGUAGAUAUUAGGAGGAACACCAGUGGCGAAGGCGGCUUACUGGACUGUAACUGACGUUGAGGCUCGAAAGCGUGGGGAGCAAACAGGAUUAGAUACCCCGGUAGUC
rnacentral:rRNA from 1 species